GCGAGGAUGGCGGAAUCGGCAGACGCGCUAGUUUGAGGGGCUAGUGCCAGAAAUGGCGUGGGGGUUCAAAUCCCCCUCCUCGCACCA
rnacentral:tRNA from 1 species